rnacentral:rRNA from 1 species
AGAACGAACGCUGGCGGCAUGCCUAAUACAUGCAAGUCGAACGAACACUUCGGUGUUAGUGGCGCACGGGUGCGUAACGCGUGGGAAUCUGCCCUUGGGUUCGGAAUAACAGUUGGAAACGACUGCUAAUACCGGAUGAUAUCGAAAGAUCAAAGAUUUAUCGCCCAGGGAUGAGCCCGCGUAGGAUUAGCUAGUUGGUGAGGUAAAGGCUCACCAAGGCGACGAUCCUUAGCUGGUCUGAGAGGAUGAUCAGCCACACUGGGACUGAGACACGGCCCAGACCUCCGUACGGGAGGCCAGCAGGUAGGGAAUAGUUGACAAGUGGGCGCAAGCCUAGAUCCAGCAAUGACCGCGUGA